UUGAUUUUUUAAUUUAAAAGCUCAAAGAAUUAUUUUGAAACUUUGACAUUUAAUUUAUUUUACGCCACGUGCAUUCCUGAAUUUUUUGAUAAAUAAUUGCUAUCUUUAUAUGAUUUGACUAUCAUAUAAAGCAACAUUGUAUGGCAAUAACUCUUUAUUAUGAAAAUAGAUAAUAUAUUUGGAUUGAAUCCGUAUUUCGAUCAUAUGAAUGUCCUAUAUAUCUUUAAAAAACAUGAUAACAAUUGUUAGAAUAUAUAAAUUUAUAUCAAGCUUUAAUUUUUUAAUAUGCAAUUGAUUUUAUUUUAAUUUCUUUUAACAAAUAAUCUAUUACUCUUGAAAAUUCUUUAAGAGUUCUAAUUCAAAUCAUGCAAAACAAUAUGAAAGAUUAUGAUUUUCAUAAAAAUAUAAC
rnacentral:lncRNA from 1 species